rnacentral:rRNA from 1 species
UGAGGAAUAUUGGUCAAUGGGCGAGAGCCUGAACCAGCCAAGUCGCGUGAAGGAUGACUGUCUUAUGGAUUGUAAACUUCUUUUAUACGGGAAUAACAAGAGUCACGUGUGACUCCCUGCAUGUACCGUAUGAAUAAGCAUCGGCUAACUCCGUGCCAGCAGCCGCGGUAAUACGGAGGAUGCGAGCGUUAUCCGGAUUUAUUGGGUUUAAAGGGUGCGUAGGCGGCCUGUUAAGUCAGCGGUGAAAUCUAGGAGCUUAACUCCUAAAUUGCCAUUGAUACUGGCGGGCCUGAGUGUAGAUGAGGUAGGCGGAAUGCGUGGUGUAGCGGUGGAAUGCAUAGAUAUCACGCAGAACUCCGAUUGCGAAGGCAGCUUACUAAGGUACAACUGACGCUGAAGCACGAAAGCGUGGGUAUCAAACAGGAUUAGAUACCCUGGUAGUCCACGCAGUAAACGAUGAUAACUGGGCGUAUGCGAUAUACAGUAUGCUCCUAAGCGAAAGCGUUAAGUUAUCCACCUGGGGAGUACGCCGGCACGGUG